rnacentral:rRNA from 1 species
GUGGGGAAUAUUGGACAAUGGGCGCAAGCCUGAUCCAGCCAUGCCGCGUGAGUGAUGAAGGCCUUAGGGUUGUAAAGCUCUUUCAGUGGGGACGAUAAUGACGGUACCCACAGAAGAAGCCCCGGCUAACUUCGUGCCAGCAGCCGCGGUAAUACGAAGGGGGCUAGCGUUGUUCGGAUUUACUGGGCGUAAAGCGCACGUAGGCGGAUCGUUAAGUCGGGGGUGAAAUCCUGGAGCUCAACUCCAGAACUGCCUUCGAUACUGGCGAUCUUGAGUCCGGAAGAGGUGAGUGGAACUCCUAGUGUAGAGGUGGAAUUCGUAGAUAUUAGGAAGAACACCAGUGGCGAAGGCGGCUCACUGGUCUGGUACUGACGCUGAGGUGCGAAAGCGUGGGGAGCAAACAGGAUUAGAAACCCUUGUAGUAC